UCCCCUGAAGGAAAGUCCUUGUCCAAGGAGUGAAGAGGGUGAACAGAGGAAUCCGGGACAUGGACAAGGGAUGACACACAGAACAUAUACAUAAGAUGCAGACAGACAGAAUUGGCUGCAGUCCCAGAAGAAAAAAGGGCACAGAGACAAGAGACGGUUUCAGACUGCAGCACCGAAAAUGUACUCAUCAUUUAUUUAUAUACAGUUUAAUUGGGCAAGCGUCCUGCAGCUAUUUUUGGAGCGCCUCUGCUGCCACAGGAAAAAAACCCUCAAGGCCUCGUCCUUUACCUGCAUUGGGUCCUGAACAAGUUUAUUUGUUAGAGCUUCAUAGGGAAAGGGUUUAUAAUGUUCACAUCUAUGGAAAACAUAUUUAUCUAACAUCACAUCAGCCAAAUAGAGUGAAAAACAGUAGAACUCAGCCUACACUGGAGGAAGAGAGCAACGUCCUUAACAUGCAGCGGUCACCAAGCUUUGCCCUCUCAUUGGUGUCCUCCUUCACAUAUCAGUGGAAUAAAAUAUUUGACAUAUGUUCUUUCUAUAUUUUAAUGAGGAUCAGGUGUUUCUCUUUCAAAAAUAAUAUUCUGUCCUCUUGUAGGUUAUCCACUGAGGUGCCCUGUGCACCUGCCGUAUCUGAACUUGUGUCUGCAGAGGAAGCUGUGUUUAAACUCAGGGAAUACUUUUCUUGCAUCCUGUAG
rnacentral:lncRNA from 1 species